AUUGAACGCUGGCGGCAGGCCUAACACAUGCAAGUCGAACGAGUGGCGGACGGGUGAGUAAUGUCUGGGAAACUGCCUGAUGGAGGGGGAUAACUACUGGAAACGGUAGCUAAUACCGCAUACCAUCGGAUGUGCCCAGAUGGGAUUAGCUAGUAGGUGGGGUAAAGGCUCACCUAGGCGACGAUCCCUAGCUGGUCUGAGAGGAUGACCAGGUACACUGGAAAUGAGACACGGUCCAGAAUCCUAAGGGAGGGAGCAGGUGGGAAAAUUGGGAAAUGGGCGCAAGCCUGAUGCAGCCAUGCCGGGUGUAGGAAGGAGGCCUUUGGGUUGUAAAGCUCGUUAAGCGGGACGACGGUACCGAAAUAGAAAGCAACGGCUAACUACGUGCCAGCAGCCGCGGUAAUAC
rnacentral:rRNA from 1 species